rnacentral:misc_RNA from 1 species
GAGUUCAUGCCCUUCGGGGUAGAUCUCCCACCCUUGAAUAUUAUACCUUAGUUGCUUUGGCAGGCCGGGGCAACCCCCCGGGCUCAGGCCUGGGAGUGCCUGCCAGAGGACCUAAACUCUGUUUGUCUAUAAUGUCUGAGUACUAUAUAAUAGUUAAAACUUUCAACAACGGAUCUCUUGGUUCU